CAAAGCUUGGACAUUCCAGGUGUGGCCAUCAAUCAAUCGUCCUUUGUGGUCGCGGCACACACAGGCCACAACUCCCUUCGCUGCUCACAUCAAGUAAGCACUAUCUAUAUUUACCUUCAGAGUUUCAAUUUUCAGAGGAAGCCAAGUCUAGGAGGAACCAUUGUAGGCAUGUGUGCUGCUGGUGGUCUGCAGAUCCCAGGAAUAGGAGAUUCUUGAGGUGGCGAGCGCUGAAUCCACCGUAAACACCGGAUCUAGGUUUAGUUUCCUGAAUGUGAAAUUAUUCCACGCCUUCCACAUUUGCCAGAGGACCGAAGCAACUACCUCCAGAUCUGCUAGCCACACUUUAAUUCAUGAUAAACCCUGUAAUGGAAUUUGGAUGCUAAGCUGCAAGUUUGCCCAAACUUCUCGUGUCCAUGGACAUUGCAAAAGGAGAUGCUCCGUCCAUUAUGGGAUGCCAUCGUGGCACAAAUCACAUACCGAGUCAGAGGGAGGCCAGGCGAGCUGCUUCAACUCUUUUGUUGCCUUCCAUUGUGCCACGGGCGAGCAGGUCCACUCCAAGGCAACGUAGGGUUCACCCGCUGGACAUAAGAAUAGGAACAGCUGUAGUAACCACCGAGCCUCUGGAGGAGAAGGCUGGGUUUGAACAAGAUGGAGAGCAGAUGAAAAAAACAUGGGUAUGACAGGGGAAAAAAAGAAGUAAUGUAAUGGUAAUUUUAGGGUUUUAGAUUAAAGAAAAGGGCAAGGAAAAAGCCAAAAGUUGAGAUAUUCAAU